UACGGAGGGUGCAAGCGUUAUCCGGAUUCACUGGGUUUAAAGGGAGCGUAGGUGGGCUGGUAAGUCAGUGGUGAAAUCUCCGGGCUUAACUCGGAAACUGCCGUUGAUACUAUCAUUCUUGAAUAUUGUGGAGGUAAGCGGAAUAUGUCAUGUAGCGGUGAAAUGCUUAGAUAUGACAUAGAACACCAAUUGCGAAGGCAGCUUACUACACAGUUAUUGACGCUGAGGCACGAAAGCGUGGGGAUCAAACAGG
rnacentral:rRNA from 1 species